AAUGAACGCUGGCGGCGUGCCUAACACAUGCAAGUCGAGCGAGAAAGUCCCCUUCGGGGGGCGAGUAAAGACGGCGCACGGGUGAGUAACGCGUGGGUAACCUGCCCUACGAGUGGGGGAGUAACCAGCCGAAAGGCUGACUAAUCCCGCAUACGACCGGCAGACACAAGUCUGCUGGGGAAAGAUGGCCUCUGCUUGCAAGCUAUCGCUCUUGGAUGGGCCUGCGUUGGAUUAGCUAGUUGGUGAGGUAAUGGCUCACCAAGGCUGCGAUCCAUAGCUGGUUUGAGAGGACGACCAGCCACACUGGAACUGAGACACGGUCCAGACUCCUACGGGAGGCAGCAGUGGGGAAUAUUGCACAAUGGGCGAAAGCCUGAUGCAGCGACGCCGCGUGAGGGAUGACGGCCCUCGGGUUGUAAACCUCUUUCAGCAGGGAAGAAGCGAAAGUGACGGUACCUGCAGAAGAAGCACCGGCUAACUACGUG
rnacentral:rRNA from 1 species